GAGAUUAUCUUAGAGUUAUUCCCCGUUGUGAAAUAGAAAGUACAUAACCCGGCAUUUUACAUGUAAACAAAGUGCUCGAAGAUUGCAAGGAAACUAAUUUGUAAUGCAGCAGAAUACGUCUACAAAUGAAGUUAAUAGGGAAGGACCUUCGCAGGCUUCUGGAUGUGCUGCAGAGGAGUUCUCAUGAUAACCAUAAUAUACCAGCAACGAUAGGUUUUUAUGGCUAGAGCGUAUGCUACACAUAUACUACAAAUUUCCGCCAUCAAUGGAGAAAACCACUUCAACCAGCACAUAUUUACAACCAAAGACUCCAAUUUGUCCAAAAGUAAGAGAAAUAACUGUUACUAGGACUGAGAGGAAGGAAAUGUACCACAAUGACAAAGAGUGAGGUGAAAGCAGUAAACAUAAGGACAGGUCCUACAAGCUUUUUGGAUUUUUUGUCUACCAAUGACAGUGUGGUGGUACUUGGUCAUAAUAUAAGAAAUUAAUAUGUUUCUGUACUUUUUCAAGCAUUAUACUGUCUUGUGAAAUUAUGGAAAGAAUUGUCACACAAGUUCAUGGUUUUCUAGACACUCUUCCAUUAUUUAAACUAGUCAAGUCAUGUCUGAACUCAUAAUACAGGAAAUUAUUGUUUUAUAUACUUGAAAUGAAAGUUCAGGUAUAAUAUUAUUUCAUAAAAUUUGUACAAUAUUCAUUUUAAUACAUAUUGUAUAAUUUGGAAAUGUUAUUGGAAUAAUGCUGUCAUAAACAUGAGAAAUUUGCAGAGAAAAGAUGUUCAGAGGAAAUUCGGGCUGAAUAUUUUCAAAAUGGCUCCACUCUUUUUUCUGAAUAUUGGACUCAUUGAUUGAUUGUUGUCAUAUUUCAUGUAAAAUCUAUGCAUUUUUUGUUUCCAUUACUCUGCAUGUAGUAACAUAUGUGACAAGGAUUCAUAUUUCUCAUAUCUCAUUGUUAUAGUCAAUGGACAAUAUCUAGGUGGCAUUGUAUUAAGGAUGUACAUUGUGAAACAUUAACUUUUUUUAUUUAAUUUAUUUUACAAAUGAAAGUUGUUCAGGUAAUAUAUAGAUCAUAAAAAUUGUGACAUGUUCAUUUUUAUUUAGAUCUUUUUUUUUUUAUUGAAAUGUAAAUGAGGAUCAAUACUUUGAGAGAAGUCGUAAACAUGAAAA